rnacentral:rRNA from 1 species
GAGGAAUAUUGGUCAAUGGGCGAGAGCCUGAACCAGCCAAGUAGCGUGAAGGAUGACUGCCCUAUGGGUUGUAAACUUCUUUUAUAAAGGAAUAAAGUCGGGUAUGUAUACCCGUUUGCAUGUACUUUAUGAAUAAGGAUCGGCUAACUCCGUGCCAGCAGCCGCGGUAAUACGGAGGAUCCGAGCGUUAUCCGGAUUUAUUGGGUUUAAAGGGAGCGUAGAUGGAUGUUUAAGUCAGUUGUGAAAGUUUGCGGCUCAACCGUAAAAUUGCAGUUGAUACUGGAUAUCUUGAGUGCAGUUGAGGCAGGCGGAAUUCGUGGUGUAGCGGUGAAAUGCUUAGAUAUCACGAAGAACUCCGAUUGCGAAGGCAGCCUGCUAAGCUGCAACUGACAUUGAGGCUCGAAAGUGUGGGUAUCAAAC